GACGAACGCUGGCGGCGUGCCUAAUACAUGCAAGUUGAGCGCUGAAGGUUGGUACUUGUACCGACUGGAUGAGCAGCGAACGGGUGAGUAACGCGUGGGGAAUCUGCCUUUGAGCGGGGGACAACAUUUGGAAACGAAUGCUAAUACCGCAUAAAAACUUUAAACACAAGUUUUAAGUUUGAAAGAUGCAAUUGCAUCACUCAAAGAUGAUCCCGCGUUGUAUUAGCUAGUUGGUGAGGUAAAGGCCCACCAAGGCGAUGAUACAUAGCCGACCUGAGAGGGUGAUCGGCCACAUUGGGACUGAGACACGGCCCAAACUCCUACGGGAGGCAGCAGUAGGGAAUCUUCGGCAACGGACGAAAGUCUGACCGAGCAACGCCGCGUGAGUGAAGAAGGUUUUCGGAUCGUAAAACUCUGUUGGUAGAGAAGAACGUUGGUGAGAGUGGAAAGCUCAUCAAGUGACGGUAACUACCCAGAAAGGGACGGCUAACUACGUG
rnacentral:rRNA from 1 species